rnacentral:misc_RNA from 1 species
UCAUUAAAGCUUCGCCGUCGCAGAUACACCGGCCGUCCGGGCUUGAGACACAGCCCGGGCGGUACGGAUGCGUCGCCGGCGUUCGCCCAUUCUUGCCUACUGACCCAGUUGCCUCGGCGUGCCGUUCCCCAGUGGACGACCGGAAGCCUUAGGGACCUAGUGUCCCCGGGGCUCUGGCCAGCGCACGCCGGAGACAGUCUAAAACUCUUUACGUAACGGCCGUCUGAGCAUAUAAAGCAAAAUCAAUUAAAACUUUCAACAACGGAUCUCUUGGUUCCGGCAUCGAUGAAGAACGCAGCGAAAUGCGAUAAGUAAUGUGAAUUGCAGAAUUCCGUGAAUCAUCGAAUCUUUGAACGCACAUUGCGCCCCCUGGUAUUCCGGGGGGCAUGCCUGUUCGAGCGUCAUUGCAACCCUCAAGCUCGGCUUGUGUGAUGGGCGAACGUCCCACCCCUUAGGGGCGGGACGCGUCCGAAAAGCAGUGGCUAGGCCGCGACUUCGGCGCCUGAGCGAAUGGGACUUCCAGCGCUUCUAGGACCGGCCGGCACUUGGCCUUUAACCAAAGUCCCCCAGGGACUCAUCUAGGUUGACCUCGGAUCAGGUAGGGAUACCCGCUGAACUUAAGCAUAUCA